AUUGAACGCUGGCGGCAUGCCUUACACAUGCAAGUCGAACGGCAGCACGGGAGCAAUCCUGGUGGCGAGUGGCGAACGGGUGAGUAAAGUAUCGGAACGUGCCCAGUCGUGGGGGAUAACGUAGCGAAAGUUACGCUAAUACCGCAUACGAUCUAUGGAUGAAAGCGGGGGAUCGCAAGACCUCGCGCGAUUGGAGCGGCCGAUAGCAGAUUAGGUAGUUGGUGGGGUAAAGGCUCACCAAGACGACGAUCUGUAGCUGGUCUGAGAGGACGACCAGCCACACUGGGACUGAGACACGGCCCAGACUCCUACGGGAGGCAGCAGUGGGGAAUUUUGGACAAUGGGCGAAAGCCUGAUCCAGCCAUGCCGCGUGCAGGAUGAAGGCCUUCGGGUUGUAAACUGCUUUUGUACGGAACGAAAAGGUUUGGGCUAAUAAGCUGAGCUCAUGACGGUACCGUAAGAAUAAGCACCGGCUAACUACGUGCCAGCCGCCGCGGUAA
rnacentral:rRNA from 1 species